CCGGCGCACGGGUGCGUAACGCGUAUGUAACCUACCUCAAACAGGGGCAUAACACUGAGAAAUUGGUACUAAUUCCCCAUAACACCAGAGAGGGCAUCCUUUCUGGUUGAAAGUUCCGGCGGUUUGAGAUGGACAUGCGUUGUAUUAGCUAGUUGGUGAGGUAACGGCUCACCAAGGCUACGAUACAUAGGGGGACUGAGAGGCUAACCCCCCACAUUGGAACUGAGACACGGUCCAAACUCCUACGGGAGGCAGCAGUGAGGAAUAUUGGUCAAUGGACGAGAGUCUGAACCAGCCAAGUAGCGUGAAGGAAGACUGCCCUAUGGGUUGUAAACUUCUUUUGUUCGGGAAUAAAGUGCAGUACGCGUACUGUUUUGUAUGUACCGUUCGAAUAAGCAUCGGCUAAUUCCGUG
rnacentral:rRNA from 1 species